rnacentral:rRNA from 1 species
UACGAAGGGGGCUAGCGUUGUUCGGAAUUACUGGGCGUAAAGCGCGCGCAGGCGGUCUUCCAAGUCAGUGGUGAAAGCCCGGAGCUCAACUCCGGAACUGCCAUUGAAACUGUAAGACUUGAGGACGAGAGAGGUGAGUGGAAUUCCCAGUGUAGAGGUGAAAUUCGUAGAUAUUGGGAAGAACACCAGUGGCGAAGGCGGCUCACUGGCUCGUAUCUGACGGCUCAGGCGCGACAGC